CCAGACUCCUACGGGAGGCAGCAGUGAGGAAUAUUGGUCAAUGGUCGGGAGACUGAACCAGCCAAGCCGCGUGAGGGAGGAAGGCCUUCGGGUUGUAAACUGCUUUUAUAAGCGAGAAAUAUGAUGGUAACUUAUGAAUAAGGAUCGGCUAACUACGUGCCAGCAGCCGCGGUCAUACGUAGGAUCCGAGCAUUAUCCGGAGUGACUGGGUGUAAAGAGUUGCGUAGGUGGCAUAAUAAGUAGCUAGUGAAAUCUGGUGGCUCAACCAUUCAGACUAUUAGCUAAACUGUUAAGCUCGAGACCGUUAGGGGUAACUGGAAUUUCUAGUGUAGGAGUGAAAUCCGUAGAUAUUAGAAGGAACACCGAUAGCGUAGGCAGGUUACUGGGACGGUUCUGACACUAAGGCACGAAAGCGUAGGGAGCAAACGGGAUUAGAUACCCCAGUAAC
rnacentral:rRNA from 1 species